AUCUCACAUUCGUGCGCCCGGGGCGGAGGAGGCCGAACCCUGAGACAUCGGAGCCUGGAGGUGGGGAAAGAUCUAUUCAAAUUGGCCAAAACGAGCAGGCGGCAGCCUGGGUUCGCUCAAAUCCUUCUCCCCAAGAACAGAAAGCAGGGGCCUUAUGGAGCUAAUGGGCUUGGCAGGAGGAGCUGCGGGAAACAGAGGGGUCGCUCCGAUGAGCCCCUGGGCAGUCUGACCUCUGGGCGUCAACGGCUGCUGGAGUCCGGCCACCUGGGGAUUGCAACCUCCCCAAGGCAUCCUCUUUCUUCCACAAAGCAGGCUCACAAAUCCCCAGGACCCCUGAGGCUCCCCUCAAGUUACACAGGAAACAGCAGGUUGUCUAAUGCCUGCAGGAACCCUCAGGUGCCAGCUUCACCCGCAGAAGUGAGUCAACCAGACUCGUUCGCAGAAGAAAUCAGCACUGAGCACCGAAAUGGGCCAGGAACUGCUGUCUUUGUGGCCUCCUUCCAGGAAGAAAACGCAUCUGAGGAAGCGGGUGCGGUGAAGUGCUUGUGCUGGAGGGGGCGUCCGCGUCCGCUCCUGGCUCUGCGCCUCCCUGCCUGUGGCCUCAGUGAGCAGCUCCACGCUCCCAGGGUCAGUGUGCUCACCAGCUAGAGGAGACAGGAACGGCGGCCUCCUCAGUUUCUGAUGAAGAUGAAACGAGAUAACCCACCUGAAGACCACGGCACAGUUCGGGGAUGCAGCCAACACUCAGUAAGUGUUUAUUCCCUUCCCCCCAUUUCCACCAUCCUCUCCCUGGCCUCUGCAGAGACAUGAGAACCAGGGAUGCUUCUUGAUCAAGGAGAUAACCCAAAACUUCCCAACCCCAACGAUGCGGGAGGCUGAAUUCAACAGAGGAAAUUUGUUCAAGAGGUUAGCUUUUGUUAGCAACAGAGACGACUGACAAGUGUGUGUGUGUAUACAUAUAUAUUCAUGAGUGUAUUCUCAUUUAUUUAGCACCUACUGUGUGUCUAGAAUAGUGCCAGUCAGGCAGCAAGUGUCCAUACGUAUUUCUUACAUAAGCGAAUGAACACCAAGCCCUUACAGCACAGUCACUUCUUCCGCGGUGCUCAGCGUCCUGCGGUGUGUUUGUUGUGACGAUGCUCUGAUUUCCAAAGUGAAUGCACCAUAAGGACGAAGUGUGGGCGUCUGUGGUCACUGAUUGCGCAGCCCCCAGAAAACGACUAGCAGGACCCGCCCACCUUCCAGCUCGCCGACACAGGCUGCACCUGCAGCUAACCUCCUCUCAUUCCCCUCCCCUUCCUCCAUUCAGCCUUCCAAAGCUGCCCAGUAUUUCCCCACGACUGAAAAAUAAAAUUCCCAUUGUUGCAGGUGUCCA
rnacentral:lncRNA from 1 species